UAGUUCCUGCUUGGAGCUUGAAGAGGGAGGACCAGGUGCACUGUUGGCUGGCUGACAGGACUGUGGACAGGGCCAAGGAACUCUACCAACAUCCCCUCCUGCAGCACCUCGCUUUCUCUUGAGGACUCCCAUCCAACGCCUGACCCCGCUCAGCUUGUGAAUGCUGACCAGUUCACCCCCUGAGGUUACAGAGCUGCAGUUCCAGACUAACCUACUCCGAAGGGACACUCCAAUAUCCACCCUGCUGGUAUCACCACACCAAACAAAGUAUCUCACUGGAAUAUGGGAGUCUCAUACAGGGGCAGGAUGAGAAUCAUGUCAGGCACCAGUGAAAUGCAGCCACCUCUUGAGUGGCACAGGUAAGCUGUUCUACCGCUCGCAGCAACAAUGGAAAGUGAAGACGAAUCUCACAUCCAACUGAAACAAUGUGAGAACAUAGGACAACAUAUGUACUCAAAUUUGAAUUUGGCCAGGACGCAACAGCUAGCUGUCCCAACACUUAUGAAAAGCACCAUGGAUCUUUGAUGACUACAACAAGUGGAUGGAACAUGUUGUCCUAAAGAUGGCACAGCCCCUUAAUGCCACACUGGGGCACAGACUCAGGGAGACUAGCACCAACGUAAUGAGUCACCAACAUCAGACACUGAAGCAAUUAGGAUGCAUGAGUAACCUCCGAUUGAAGAGCUUGAGAAAAACUGGUGGUAGCAGCCUUCUCAUGAGUGUAGUCUGCUAAAAUGUUUGAAUAAUACCAUUCACCUAUGUUAAUCAAUGCAGUUUAGUCUUAGAUCUUCCCAACUACCCCCACUUAUACCUGUCCCCCUCCUACUCUCUGGUGCGCAUGCGCACACACACUUGAAGGGAAUGAUCUGCCUCUGGAACUUUGGUGGCCUAAUAUAGCCCUGCCUGGCUUUAUUUUUAUUUGGGGCUUGGCUUUGCUUUUCCAUGAGCCUUACAUGAGAUCAACCCUGUUGUCCAUAAAUACCCUGCAGUUUCACAGCCCUGACAAAUUUCAUACUACGAUGGGUAAAACUUUGGAGAAAACAUCAAGCAGCAAAGCAGUGCCCAGAGGAAAACAAGCUGCUUUCAAGCCUGGUUUUACAGUAAGCUGAGCUGAUGCUCCCUCAUCAUGCUGGCUGCUGAACUGCCUCUGACAGAACUUCUGCUCCUAGCCUCAGACCAGGCACCAAAUGAGGAACCACAUUCCAUGCACAUACAGACCUAUAUGCACUAACCCUCUCUUUGCUAUGUCUGAUACACAAACCCACUUUCACAGAUUCAAACAAACAAUUACACAUAGUCACCAAUGGACACACACAUGCAAUACUACUAUCUAGCCCUUUUUAUAAUGCUUCUCGUCGGUAAAUAUCAAAGCACUUUUCAAAGGAGGUCAGUAUCCUUAUUCCCAUUUUAUGGAUGGAAAAACUGAGGCACAGAGCAGUGAGUUGCCUAAGCUCACCCAGCUGGUCAGGGACAGAGCCAGGAAUAUAAUCCAGGUUUCCUAGUCCCACUCCAAUGCCUCUAUCCACUAGACUACACUACCUAUGAUGCACAUGAUCAUUCAUCUGUGAACCCAACCAUCCUCCAACCCAUAUAUUUAUAGGGAAAGGAGGAAGAAGUUAAACAAAACAGCAAUGUUCCCAACCCUUCAUGAGUCAGGUUCAAGAAACAUGAGCUUGGCUUAAAAAUCAGAAGAUUUAAAAAAAAUAAAAUAAAAAAUAAAUGUUGAG